UACAGAGGGGGCAAGCGUUGUUCGGAAUUACUGGGCGUAAAGGGCGCGUAGGCGGCCGCCUAAGUCAGACGUGAAAUCCCUCGGCUCAACCGGGGAACUGCGUCUGAUACUGGGUGGCUCGAGUCCGGAAGAGGGGGGCGGAAUUCCCGAGUGUAGCGGUGAAAUGCGUAGAUAUUGGGAGGAACACCAGUGGCGAAGGCGGAUCCCCGUGGGCCGGAACUGACGCUGAGGCGCGAAAGCGUGGGUAGCAAACGGG
rnacentral:rRNA from 1 species